CCCUUAGAUGUCCUGGGCCGCACGCGCGCUACACUGACAUGUUCAACAAGCCUCCUAGUUCGACAGGAUUUGGGAAAUCUUUGAACGCAUGUCGUGAUAGGGAUAGACCAUUGCAAUUAUUGAUCUUGAACGAGGAAUUCCUAGUAAACGCGAGUCAUCAGCUCGCAUUGAUUACGUCCCUGCCCUUUGUACACACCGCCCGUCGCACCUACCGAUUGAAUGUUUCGGUGAAGAUUCCGGAUAGGACUUUUUUGAUUUAUUUCAAUUUUGUCUUAAAAGCUAUCUAAACCUCAACAUUUAGAGGAAGGUGAAGUCGUAACA
rnacentral:rRNA from 1 species